rnacentral:rRNA from 1 species
UACGAAGGGGGCGAGCGUUGUUCGGAUUUACUGGGCGUAAAGGGCGCGCAGGCGGUUCUGUUUGUCGAGUGUGAAAGCCCCGGGCUCAACCUGGGAACUGCGCUCGAAACGGCGGAACUAGAGUUCGGGAGAGGAGAGUGGAAUUUACGGUGUAGCGGUGAAAUGCGUAGAUAUCGUAAGGAAGACCAGAGGCGAAGGCGGCUACCUGGACAAUUGCUGACGCUCAGGCACGAAAGCGUGGGGAGCAAAAGGG